GUGAGGAAUAUUGGUCAAUGGGCGGGAGCCUGAACCAGCCAAGUCGCGUGAAGGAAGAAGGAUCUAUGGUUCGUAAACUUCUUUUGCAGGGGAAUAAAGUGCAGGACGUGUCCUGUUUUGUAUGUACCCUGAGAAUAAGGAUCGGCUAACUCCGUGCCAGCAGCCGCGGUAAUACGGAGGAUCCGAGCGUUAUCCGGAUUUAUUGGGUGUAAAGGGUGCGUAGGUGGUUUGAUAAGUCAGCGGUGAAAGUUUGCAGCUUAACUGUAAAAAUGCCGUUGAAACUGUCGGACUUGAGUGUAAAUGAGGUAGGCGGAAUGCGUGGUGUAGCGGUGAAAUGCAUAGAUAUCACGCAGAACUCCGAUUGCGAAGGCAGCUUACUAAGCUACAACUGACACUGAAGCACGAAAGCGUGGGGAUCAAACAGGAUUAGAUACCCCGGUAGUCC
rnacentral:rRNA from 1 species